rnacentral:antisense_RNA from 1 species
CUCCCUACUGGCCGCUCGAAGCUUGAAGCUGCAGUUCACUUUCGCGAACGUAAGGAACCCAGCUUCUGUGUGGUGGGCACUGAGAGCAGAACCGCAUUGAGUCGAAGUGGAGCACGGAAGUGUAGGUCCUUUUGCGCUGUUUCAAGCUAAACCCGUGUCACUGAUGCCGUGCAGAAGUUACAGAAUGGGACGCCACCCCAAACAUUACGUCAUCCGCUGACCAUUUCCUCGCGGUCUUCCCACCGUCUAAAUCGCCAUAUAAUCUGAUGGAUGGGGUCCUCGCGCGGGCCAGCUCCUGGGCGACAGCGUAACCCGUCGCUCCUCCCUCUGCGGGAGGGCGUGGACGGGGCACGGGAUUUGGAGCGUGGAAGGAAUCGGGACCUAAAGGAGUCCCAGGACACCGGAACCAGGACUCCCCGGCGCGCCCGGAGAGUUUCCGAGCUCGUUUGAAGUAUGAAUUAGAACUUCUGGAUGGGAAUCCUGGAGCCACCACCUGCCCUAUGGUCGCAAUGGGCAAGUCACUCAACCUCCCAGAUCCUGUUUUCUCAUGAGUAAAACGGGGAUUAUAAUAUCCACCUGACAAUAUUAUUUUUGUGAGAAUUAAAUGAGUUUAGAAUGUAAA